rnacentral:rRNA from 1 species
CUGAAUCAGUGUGUGUGUUAGUGGAAGCGUCUGGAAAGGCGCGCGAUACAGGGUGACAGCCCCGUACACAAAAAUGCACAUAUUGUGAGCUCGAUGAGUAGGGCGGGACACGUGGUAUCCUGUCUGAAUAUGGGGGGACCAUCCUCCAAGGCUAAAUACUCCUGACUGACCGAUAGUGAACCAGUACCGUGAGGGAAAGGCGAAAAGAACCCCGGCGAGGGGAGUGAAAAAGAACCUGAAACCGUGUACGUACAAGCAGUGGGAGCACGCUUAGGCGUGUGACUGCGUACCUUUUGUAUAAUGGGUCAGCGACUUAUAUUCUGUAGCAAGGUUAACCGAAUAGGGGAGCCGAAGGGAAACCGAGUCUUAACUGGGCGUUAAGUUGCAGGGUAUAGACCCGAAACCCGGUGAUCUAGCCAUGGGCAGGUUGAAGGUUGGGUAACACUAACUGGAGGACCGAACCGACUAAUGUUGAAAAAUUAGCGGAUGACUUGUGGCUGGGGGUGAAAGGCCAAUCAAACCGGGAGAUAGCUGGUUCUCCCCGAAAGCUAUUUAGGUAGCGCCUCGUGAAUUCAUCUCCGGGGGUAGAGCACUGUUUCGGCAAGGGGGUCAUCCCGACUUACCAACCCGAUGCAAACUGCGAAUACCGGAGAAUGUUAUCACGGGAGACACACGGCGGGUGCUAACGUCCGUCGUGAAGAGGGAAACAACCCAGACCGCCAGCUAAGGUCCCAAAGUCAUGGUUAAGUGGGAAACGAUGUGGGAAGGCCCAGACAGCCAGGAUGUUGGCUUAGAAGCAGCCAUCAUUUAAAGAAAGCGUAAUAGCUCACUGGUCGAGUCGGCCUGCGCGGAAGAUGUAACGGGGCUAAACCAUGCACCGAAGCUGCGGCAGCGACGCUUAUGCGUUGUUGGGUAGGGGAGCGUUCUGUAAGCCUGUGAAGGUGUGCUGUGAGGCAUGCUGGAGGUAUCAGAAGUGCGAAUGCUGACAUAAGUAACGAUAAAGCGGGUGAAAAGCCCGCUCGCCGGAAGACCAAGGGUUCCUGUCCAACGUUAAUCGGGGCAGGGUGAGUCGACCCCUAAGGCGAGGCCGAAAGGCGUAGUCGAUGGGAAACAGGUUAAUAUUCCUGUACUUGGUGUUACUGCGAAGGGGGGACGGAGAAGGCUAUGUUGGCCGGGCGACGGUUGUCCCGGUUUAAGCGUGUAGGCUGGUUUUCCAGGCAAAUCCGGAAAAUCAAGGCUGAGGCGUGAUGACGAGGCACUACGGUGCUGAAGCAACAAAUGCCCUGCUUCCAGGAAAAGCCUCUAAGCAUCAGGUAACAUCAAAUCGUACCCCAAACCGACACAGGUGGUCAGGUAGAGAAUACCAAGGCGCUUGAGAGAACUCGGGUGAAGGAACUAGGCAAAAUGGUGCCGUAACUUCGGGAGAAGGCACGCUGAUAUGUAGGUGAAGUCCCUUGCGGAUGGAGCUGAAAUCAGUCGAAGAUACCAGCUGGCUGCAACUGUUUAUUAAAAACACAGCACUGUGCAAACACGAAAGUGGACGUAUACGGUGUGACGCCUGCCCGGUGCCGGAAGGUUAAUUGAUGGGGUCAGCGCAAGCGAAGCUCUUGAUCGAAGCCCCGGUAAACGGCGGCCGUAACUAUAACGGUCCUAAGGUAGCGAAAUUCCUUGUCGGGUAAGUUCCGACCUGCACGAAUGGCGUAAUGAUGGCCAGGCUGUCUCCACCCGAGACUCAGUGAAAUUGAACUCGCUGUGAAGAUGCAGUGUACCCGCGGCAAGACGGAAAGACCCCGUGAACCUUUACUAUAGCUUGACACUGAACAUUGAGCCUUGAUGUGUAGGAUAGGUGGGAGGCUUGGAAGUGUGGACGCCAGUCUGCAUGGAGCCGACCUUGAAAUACCACCCUUUAAUGUUUGAUGUUCUAACGUUGACCCGUAAUCCGGGUUGCGGACAGUGUCUGGUGGGUAGUUUGACUGGGGCGGUCUCCUCCUAAAGAGUAACGGAGGAGCACGAAGGUUGGCUAAUCCUGGUCGGACAUCAGGAGGUUAGUGCAAUGGCAUAAGCCAGCUUGACUGCGAGCGUGACGGCGCGAGCAGGUGCGAAAGCAGGUCAUAGUGAUCCGGUGGUUCUGAAUGGAAGGGCCAUCGCUCAACGGAUAAAAGGUACUCCGGGGAUAACAGGCUGAUACCGCCCAAGAGUUCAUAUCGACGGCGGUGUUUGGCACCUCGAUGUCGGCUCAUCACAUCCUGGGGCUGAAGUAGGUCCCAAGGGUAUGGCUGUUCGCCAUUUAAAGUGGUACGCGAGCUGGGUUUAGAACGUCGUGAGACAGUUCGGUCCCUAUCUGCCGUGGGCGCUGGAGAACUGAGGGGGGCUGCUCCUAGUACGAGAGGACCGGAGUGGACGCAUCACUGGUGUUCGGGUUGUCAUGCCAAUGGCACUGCCCGGUAGCUAAAUGCGGAAGAGAUAAGUGCUGAAAGCAUCUAAGCACGAAACUUGCCCCGAGAUGAGUUCUCCCUGACUCCUUGAGAGUCCUGAAGGAACGUUGAAGACGACGACGUUGAUAGGCCGGGUGUGUAAGCGCAGCGAUGCGUUGAGCUAACCGGUACUAAUGAACCGUGAGGCUUAACCUU